rnacentral:rRNA from 1 species
UACAGAGGUCCCGAGCGUUGUUCGGAUUCACUGGGCGUAAAGGGUGCGCAGGUGGGUUUGCAAGUUCGAUGUGAAAGCCCCGGGCUUAACCCGGGAAUGGCAUUGAAUACUGCAGAUCUGGAGGAUCGGAGGGGGGACUGGAAUUCUUGGUGUAGCAGUGAAAUGCGUAGAUAUCAAGAGGAACACCAGUGGCGAAGGCGAGUCCCUGGACGAUACCUGACACUGAGGCACGAAAGCGUGGGGAGCAAACAGG